rnacentral:rRNA from 1 species
AACGAACGCUGGCGGCAUGCCUAACACAUGCAAGUCGAACGAGACCUUCGGGUCUAGUGGCGCACGGGUGCGUAACGCGUGGGAAUCUGCCCUUGGGUUCGGAAUAACUCGCCGAAAGGCGUGCUAAUACCGGAUGAUGACGUAAGUCCAAAGAUUUAUCGCCCAAGGAUGAGCCCGCGUUGGAUUAGCUAGUUGGUGAGGUAAAGGCUCACCAAGGCGACGAUCCAUAGCUGGUCUGAGAGGAUGAUCAGCCACACUGGGACUGAGACACGGCCCAGACUCCUACGGGAGGCAGCAGUGGGGAAUAUUGGACAAUGGGCGAAAGCCUGAUCCAGCAAUGCCGGGUGAGUGAAGAAGGCCUUAGGGUUGUAAAGCUCUUUUACCCGGGAUGAUAAUGACCGUACCGGGAGAAUAAGCCCCGGCUAACUCCGU